UAUUAUAUGUGUAGCCGUACACAAUGAACUUCCUGCCGUCCACAUCCUCUCACCUACAACGCGUGCCUCGCGACUUACUACGGAUUCACUCUCCGAGCGUAUCGAUGAUCGUGUGAAAUUCGGAAUCGACGAAGUUUCUAUAAUUCACACGUGAUCAUUUCGUCUCCGUCUCCUUUUACUUUUUUACGCCGUUGCGAACGUAACGAUUCGUACACGUUAAACGCUUCACCUGAAGGAUAGUAGAAUAUUGCACAUUUACGUCAGAAUCAUGAGCAGUUAUUAGUUUACGUGGCACUUGGUUCAACGUGGAUUCUGUGAAUUGGAUUACAAAACAAUAUAUCGAACUAAUAUAUUUCGAAGAUGACACGUAUAAAAUGUUGUUGCAUGUGUCGGAAAUCUUCAGGUAUACGGGCUUUGGAGAGGGGACCCACAUCUAUUAGGAUUUCGUGAAUUCGAUGGAAUUUCGUUCUGAAAGAACGAUGGGCACAUUGGAUUUUCUCUCACGAUCAAUAAACGAGUGAUUUAUCAUUUAAUCUGCGUGGCAAUUUCAAUUUAAGGUGUAACUGAGUAUACUCUGUCAUUCCUGUCUAUAAUGAUUCCUUGAAAAACAACGUCGUUAAAUACUUCCAGACCUGAACCGCAAACAAAUCCUGGGAAGUAGACUUUCGGCGUCUCUACAUGACGUCAUAUCAAUUAAAACGUAUGCACGUUCUACGUACGCACACGUACUUACAUUACCUACACCAGUUUGAAGAUCGUAACGACUGGCAGCUGAUGCCGGCUGUUUUUAAUUUGUCCCAUGAUCUUGAGGAUAAUUAACGAAAUUAAAUGGCGUCUGGUUGUCCGAACCAGUGACAUGCCGGUCUUGCCGAAUCGCAACGUUGGAGAGUUCAUAGCUUUUUGCAGUAACUCAUUGCGCUAAUCUUGAGAAUUAUCUUGAAGGCUAUAGCAAUUACCUGGUCACAAUGUGUGUAGACGUGUAUCCCAUAAAUAUGUAGCCACAUAAAUUUUUUUCACUAAUGAAUCACUUCUCUGAUAUAAUAAACUUAGUUGGUUAAAUAAAAGUUAAAGAAAGAGAUUGUUCUUGGAUAAUGAAAUUUCGAUACAGCAAAACGUAGUUUAGGUACACGAGUUCUUCAACGUGUUUACUAACGUUACAUAAGAAUCGUGCAUGGGAAACAGUUUUUCAGUGUAAAUACCGGGAUGGGGAAAUGCUUCCUGGUUGCCGGGGUGUUAACUAGCGCGAAAUGAACCAUGUGUAUCUUUUUAAUUCGUCUGUAACGCGAGAAUAAUUGAUGGAACGCGUAGAGACGUUUGCGCUCAACGACGCGGCGCGGCGGGCAGUGGUAAAACGUUUGAAAUAGCUGACUGAUACGAUGCCGAGAGUCUCUCGAAAACGGUCGACGAAAGAUGGACGGAGAACGCGAGAAAGGCACACUGUCAAGGUGUUUGCCAAAGACAAACCUCGGACUUCAAACGUAGAUGUUCCAUCUGAGUGGACACCGUCCGGUAUACAUUCAACACCGUGCGACCACGGCUCGUUCGGAACCGCACGAAAAAACCUGAUACCACAACCAUCUCCCUUUGCCUUCAACUUGAAACAUCCCCGGGACUGACGCUUUGACCGUGUCAAAGCCUCCAGCCGUACCCGUAUUAUUUCUGAAAUGUUUGAGUUGGAUCUUGGGUGCCAAAUUUUUCACCUGUUUGCUAUUCAAAGGGUUAAGCAAGUCGACUUUCCUUGAAAGAUUGUUUCGAGUGUGAAAACUCUGUGCUGAAUUAAUGAAAUAAGUAUUAAGCUAUAUAAAUGAAAUCUUAUUGAUAAACAUGCAAGGAAUCCACAAACAGCAAGACGUAAUUAAUGCUAAAGGGGCAUCGAUUUAAAUUGAUGAUUUUUAUUAAAAUUCUUA